UAUAUUCAGUGGCAAGGUUAACCAUCUAGGGGAGCCGUAGGGAAACCGAGUCUUAACUGGGCGUUCAGUCUCUGGAUAUAGACCCGAAACCAGGUGAUCUAGCCAUGGGCAGGUUGAAGGUUGAGUAACAUCAACUGGAGGACCGAACCGACUAAUGUUGAAAAAUUAGCGGAUGACUUGUGGCUAGGGGUGAAAGGCCAAUCAAACCUGGAGAUAGCUGGUUCUCCCCGAAAGCUAUUUAGGUAG
rnacentral:rRNA from 1 species